CAACAGGAAGAAACCUGAAGCAGACUAGACUCAGUUGGGUGGUCAUCUGCUUUCCUGUCAGUUCUCUCCACUGAGUAGUUCACCUUUUUUUUUUUUUAAAUAGUUUUUUCUGCACAAGUUUCUGAAGAAAAAAACAAACAAAAAAAAAAUCACCUCCAAACCUUCAACAUCAGGAAGAGAAGAGAAAACUACCAUAUUUUAAUCACUGUCGAAGAACCAAAAAUAGA